ACAUAGAAAAACAAGUCUAAUAUCCUCUCACACAAGUUUUACUCCAGUCCAACUAGUAGAUUGCAUGAAAUCUUAAAAACCCUCACUAGACCUAAAAUUCUACUUUUUGAGACCUUGACUCACUUAAACCUCAAUAUCUCUUAGUUCAACCGUUAGAUCAAGCUCAAAUUCACAACAUGUAUUCAACACAACUAUAACCAUGAACCCCAAAAAAUUCACCUAUAGAUCUACAACAAAAUUCUCAAAAUCACUCAAAACAUAAAUCCUAUUUUAUUUCAUAAAACCCAAGUCAUCCGAAAAAAAAACUCAACUUUGCAAAGCUCUUACAAAUUCAUAUCAACUCCAAAUCAUCCAGAAUCAAUGCUCAUAG
rnacentral:lncRNA from 1 species